rnacentral:rRNA from 1 species
AUUGAACGCUGGCGGCAUGCCUUACACAUGCAAGUCGAACGGUAACAGGUCUUCGGGUGCUGACGAGUGGCGAACGGGUGAGUAAUACAUCGGAACGUGCCUAGUAGUGGGGGAUAACUACUCGAAAGAGUGGCUAAUACCGCAUGAGAUCUACGGAUGAAAGCAGGGGAUCGCAAGACCUUGUGCUACUAGAGCGGCCGAUGGCAGAUUAGGUAGAUGGUGGGAUAAAAGCUUACCAAGCCGACGAUCUGUAGCUGGUCUGAGAGGACGAUCAGCCACACUGGGACUGAGACACGGCCCAGACUCCUACGGGAGGCAGCAGUGGGGAAUUUUGGACAAUGGGCGCAAGCCUGAUCCAGCAAUGCCGCGUGCAGGAUGAAGGCCUUCGGGUUGUAAACUGCUUUUGUACGGAACGAAAAGCCCCGGGUUAAUACCCUGGGGUCAUGACGGUACCGUAAGAAUAAGCACCGGCUAACUACGUGCCAGCAGCCGCGGUAA